rnacentral:lncRNA from 1 species
GCAAAUAUAUUAAAGGGCAAAGGCCAUCAAGCAUACAGGACGUAUACAAAUCUGCCUCAAAACGAGAGCACAAAAACAAAGACCCUUACCCUCCCUUAAGUGGUCGCUAGCCACUCAAAAAAACCUAAGAGUGAAGAGGACUCCUCUCCAAUAUACACCCUAGCCCAACUCCACAAGGUACAAACAAAAGAAUUUUUGAGUUUCUGUAUAUUUAACACCCCUCCCUUGAACGCUAACCUAUUUCUUUCCUUCCAUACCGUCCAAAAAAUACACAACGGGAUAGAAUUCCAAAUUUUUUUCCUUUUUUUCCCCACAAAGGGGCCCCUCCAACUGAAUAAAGCCUCCUUCACCAGCUCUGGGAACACCCAAUGAACCCCCACAAGGGCAAAAACGAUAUCCCAUAAGGCCCUUACAACCGUACAAUGAAGAAGAAUGUGAUUUACACUCUCCUCUUCACAAACACACAAAAAACAACGGUUCGGGAACUGCCAGCCCCGUUUUUGAAGCUUAUCCAAGGUAAGAAUUUUCCCCCACGCAGCUUCCCAAGCAAAAAAAACCACUUUGGUAGGGACCUUGUUCACCCAAACUCCUCUAUGCGGAAAGUCGCAAGCAUUGAUAACAACCAGCCCAUUAUAGGCCUGCUUCACCCCAUACUUCCCCUGGCCCCCUCCUUUCCAAAGCACCCCGUCCUCCUCUAAAGAGAGCUUGACGUCCCUGAGCCUAAUAAGCAAUCCUCUAAUCAAAUCCAGCUCCCAAUCAUUGAAGUCUCUAUGAAAUCUGAGAUUCCAGCCACUUGGACCACUUCUAUGGUCCCACAUCUCAUUAACCGUUGCAUUCUUGUUGACCGCCAUCUCAUAAAGCAAGGGAAAAGCAAGGGACAGCCUCUCAUCCCCACACCAUUGAUCCAACCAGAAUUUUAUUCUAGUCCCUUUCCCUACCUUGAACUUGAUAUUCUCCCAACACCAAUUAGCUUCCUUCAUGAUUUCCUUCCAUGCCCCUACUCCGUAUGCUCCCCGGCCUUCUUUAGUUUUCCACCCAAACUCUUCCUGACCAUACUUCACCCCAAUCAUUACCCUCCAAAGAUUAUCUUUUUCCACAGCAAAUCUCCAAACCCAUUUACCCAACAGCGCUUUGUUUAAGGAUUCAAUCCUCCUCAUGCCAAGGCCACCCUUUUCCUUGCUAGUACACACCACCUCCCACUUAAUUAAGUGCACCUUCCUCUCCAAGCUGCCCCCUCCCCAAAGAAAGUCUCUUUGUAUUUUUUCAAGUCUUUUUACAACACUCUUCGGCAUUCGAAAGAGGGACAUAAUGUAUAUGGAAAGGCUGGCCAUUGUACACUUGAUUAAGGUGAGACGCCCUCCCUUUGAAAUAUACUGUCUUUUCCAUUGGGCUAAUCUCUUCCUCAUUCUCUCUUCCACCCCAUCCCAAAUGGAAACAGCUUUGUGGUGAGCACCAAGGGGCAGCCCCAAGUACACAGUGGGCAGCAUUCCUAUUUUACAGCCAAGUUCCACAGCCAGCUCCUCAAUAUUCUCCACCUCACCCACCGGAAUGAGGACACUUUUAUCAAGAUUGAUUCUAAGGCCGGAAGCCGCCUCAAACCAAGCCAACACCCAGCUUAGAGCGGACACUUGCUCAUUAUUAGCUUCACAAAAGAUGAUUGUGUCAUCCGCAAAGAGUAGGUGGGACACUAUCAUCUCCUCUUCCCCUCUCCCCUUAAUGUUGCAGCCUGAUAAGAAGCCCCCAUCAACCGCUCUUCUAAUUAGAAUACUAAGAACUUCCAUCCCCAACACAAAGAGAUACGGGGAGAUGGGAUCUCCUUGUCUUAGCCCCUUAGAAUUCGAGAAAAAACCAGCUGGUACCCCAUUGAUCAUGACUGAAAAUUUGGCGGUAGAGAUGCACCACCACAUCCACUCCAACCACCGCGACCCAAAACCCAUUUUGACCAGCACUUUCAUGAGAAAUCUCCAAUUAAUGCUGUCAUAGGCUUUCUCAAUGUCCAAUUUACAAAUCAGCCCAUUCUCUUUUCUCUUGUUCCAGAAAUCAAUCACCUCAUUGGCAAUAAGAGACGCGUCCAGGAUCUGUUUGCCUCUCACAAAGGCGUUUUGAUCCCCUGACACCACCUUAUCAAGCACUUUCUUUAGCCUAUUCGCCAACACCUUAGCCAAUAGCUUGUACAAACUUCCUAACAGGCUGAUUGGCCGGAAAUCACCCAAGUCUUCAGCCCCUCCUUUCUUAGGAAUGAGGACUAAAAAGGUGGAGUUAAGGCUGUUAGCAAACGAACGUUGGUUAUAGAAUUCCCUAAACAGAUCCAUAAUCUCCUCCUUCACUAACCCCCAACUUGAUUGCCAAAACGCAAUUGUGAACCCAUCCGGACCCGGCGCUUUAUCCCCAUUCAUACCCAUUAAGGCUGCGUAGAUUUCCUCUUCAGAAAAUUGCACCUCCAAUGUUUCAGCUUCACUGGGACUUAGACAUUUAAAGUGCAGUCCCUCCACAUCUGCCCUCCAGCCUGGCUCUUCAGAGAGCACCUGCUGAAAGGCGCUCACUAUUCCUUCCCUCAUCUCCUUCUCCUCAGUCAACCAAACCCCAUUAAUUUUCAUUCUCUCCAGAGAAUUAUUCCUUCUAUGCGCAUUAGCCAUUCUAUGGAAGAAUCCAGUGUUUCUAUCUCCCUCCUUAAGCCACAAUUCCUUGGACAAUUGUCUCCAGUGGGUCUCCUCCAAUAAAACCCAUUUUUUAAAGGACUCCUUGGCUUCCUUUUUCAGUUCAGUUUCACCUUCAGACAAGCUCCUUUCCCUUUCCACCCCGUCCCAAAACUCCACUUGUUGACCUCAUUAAACCAUUUCAUACAAGAAUCUAGGAAUACUUAAAGAAAGUCCAACUGGGUAAAUCUUAAACUAAAGGCCCCUAGUGUAAAGUAUAAGAAAACCAAAGAAUUAAAUACAGUGAAUUAAAUCAAACCUAUUAGCUUGGUUACAAGGCUAUAUAAGAUUAUAGCAAAGGUUUUAUCAAGGCAUUUACACAGAGUUCUCCAUGAAACAAUUGAUAUUUCCCAAGGAGCCUUUGUUGAAAGGUGACAAAUUCUGGAUGCUGUUUUGAUAGCUAAUGAAGUGGUGGAUGAAAAAAGGAGGUCGGAGGAGGAAGGGGUAGCCUUCAAAAUUAAUUUCGAAAAGGUCUACAACCAUGUGGAUUCGGGUUUCUUGGACCAUGUGCUAGAAAGGAAAGGUUUCAGGUCAAAGUGGAAAUCCUAGAUGAGGGGCUACUAGUCUUCAACAAGUUUUGUAAUCCUAGUUAAUGGAAAUGCCAAAGGAUGGGUUAAGGGCACUAAAGGGUUAAGACAAGGAGACCCUCUUUCUCAUUUCCUUUUUACCAUAGUAGUGGAUGUCCUAAUUAGGAUGAUGAUCAAAGCAAAGGAAAGUAGUUUACUGAGGGCUUCAUAGUGGGUAAGGAUAGGACUAGAGCAUCUCUGUUACAAUUUGCAAAUGACACCAUUUUCUUCUCUAUCCCUUCUCUUUAUCUUCUUUUUCUAUAUUUUUAUUUUAUUUUAUUUCACUAUCAUAAACUUUAUCCUUUGUUCAUCUCCUUAAACCCUAAAAGAUAAAAACCCUAACCCACCUAUUUGAUUGUAGGCAACCAUAGGGUUACCCUACAACACUUUUGGUAUAAAAGUCGAAAAGUUCUUGGCUUGAAGGCGUAUGCAAUUGAGAAGUGUAGCAACUUAUGCAAGCAUGAGUUCAAAAAUAACUUCUAACAAUCAUGAUGUUGCUACAACACAUUCAAGAGGAAAUUUUUGCUACACUACAGUUCCAUCAUGAUGCUAUAAUGCAACUAAAUAGCAACCUUGAUGAAAUCACGAAAGUUAUUAAAAAAGAUUCAAGAAAAACAAUCAAUUGAAGAUGAGACUACAAGCCAUCAAUUUAAACAAUCGCCCUAUAGACCACAUGAAGAACAAAGCAAUUUUAUAAUGAGAAAUCAAAGAAAAGGCAAAAUCUUUUAGCAAGAUGACAAUGUGACAAAAAGGGUAUGCCUUGCAAAGGGAGGUUAUGUACCAUGAUCAUUGAUGGAGGUAGUAGCUUAAAAAUAGUUUCCCAAGAGUUUUGUUGAGAAACUAAACCUUCAAACAAAGAAAUAUCUAAAUCCAUCUCAAGUAGCAUGGGUUAACGAUACCUCCAUUCCAGUAAGUUUUUUAUGCUAGAUCAAAUUCUUUUUUGGUAAGGACUUCAAAUAGUUUAUAUGGCGUGAGGUCUUACCAAUAAAAGCUAGUCAUAUUUUGUUUGGAAGACCUUGGCUUUUUUAUAGAAGGGUUCAACAUGAUGACUAUGAAAAUACACACCCCCAUACACAAUAGGCAUGAGAAGAUCCUUCAUCUAUGAAAGAAGUUCCACCAAUUAACAAGUUGAAGGAGACACAACCAAAAAAGGUGCGCAUUAUGCGCCAUGUACAAGAUAUACGUGGAAAGGUACGAGAAAAAAUCAAAAUCAGCAAUAAGAACUAUAAAGAGGCAUCAAAUACACAUCAAUGAUACAUUCUGUUUCAAGAAGGUAAUCUAGUAAUGGUUCAUUUACAUCUAGAAAGAUUUCAACCAAAACACAUAUCAAAAACUUUAAGCUAAGAAAGCGAGUUCAUUUCGGAUGCUAAAGUGAUUGGAUGAGAAUGCUUAUUUGCUAGAGUUUCCCUAAAAAUAAUUACAUUUCAGUCCAAGAUUUAAUGUGGAAGAUUCGUUUGGCUACCAUGGUCAUCAAAGAGAGGUAAGACAAGAAUUGGAUCUUCAAUUGCCACCUAAUCUUAGCUCAUGUUCUGAGAUCAAGUAUGUUCUUGAAGAUCAACUUGUGUCUAGUCAACAAGGCGGAUACCAAAAAUUUUUGGUGAAAUGACAAUGCAAACCACCACUGAAAAAACAUGGAUUACAACAACAGAUUUUUAAGAGUUUAACCAUGAUCUCUAUGAUAUGUAUCAAGCAUGUAAGUCACUGAAGUCAAGUUAUUUCAAGCCAAGAGGAAUUAAUGGGAGAAAGCCUUCUAAAGUAUAUUCAAGAAAAUGAAGGAAAGGCAUAAAUAAACUCAAGUAGGAUUAGUAUUAGUUAGAGAGUUAAAUUAGGAUUAAUAUUGUUGGAGACAAAUUAGUAGUAGCUAUUAUAGGAAAAUUAUAAUUAGAGUUAUAAUAGGUUAUUAAAAUUUUAGUAGAAGUUGGAUUUAUUAGAGAAGCCCAUAAAUAAGAUUAAUUGAUGCAAACCAAAAUAUUGAUGAUUAAGAAUAUAAUGUUUUCUUGCAUACCUUGCAAUUCCCAACAGUGAGAUACCAUUGAUUUUCUACUAGGUGAGACUCCUAAAGGGUUUUAGUGCAACUCUAAGGUCUCUUAUCUCUUUUUAUCCUUAUCUUCUUUCUCUAUAUUUUUAUUUUAUUUCAUUUCAUUGCCAUAAACUUUAUCCUUUGUUCCUUUUCUUAAACCCUAAAAGAUAAAAAUCCUAAGUCCAUCAAUUUGAUUGUAGGCAACCAUCCUAAAGUUGUGUACAUCACAAUAGAUGGCGGAUUUGCUCAUGAUUUUUAAGAUGAGGCAAGUAUCAUUACGAGUAAAGAUUUCACAUUUGUUAUUUGUUGGUUAUACCUUAUAGUUCCAUGACACAUAGUAUAACCAUUUAAAGAAAAGUGAAUUAUUCCCAAUAGGGGGGUUUGCUAAUAGGGAGGAACUAGCCUUGGAGUUGGGGCAUGGUGGGGACCUUCAAUAUACUUAUUUAGGUCUAUGCUCUUCAAAGAGCGUAGAAGAGGAGUCCUGCCAAAGGUUAUUGAUGUGAAGAUGAUAUAUUUCAAAAGGGGGAAGGCUUACUCAAAUUUGAAGCACCUUUUCUUUGCACACUCAAAUGAUUGAGAGUUGGACAUUGUAGAGACUUUUUUCUCAAGGUUACAAAGAAGAUCCAUGAAGAGGAAAGAGAAAGAUAAGAUGGUGCGAAUGGACGUAAGGAACAAUUUUUUUUUUUUUUACCAGGGUGCUAAAUUCCUUUUCUAAUGUGCAUCAUUAGGAAUUCUUGGUCCAUCUAAAGUAACUUUUUUUUGCUUGGAAAGCUAGUUAAGCAAAGGUGUUGACUUUAAACCGGAUUCAAAGGAGAGGGUGGUCAUUAGCAAACAAAUAUUACCAUUGUAAAAGCAAAGUGGAAUCAAUUGAUCACAUUCUUCUCCAUUGUACCAAAGCAAGAGUGUUAUAACAGCCUGCUUCUCUAUGUUUAAUGUAGUUUAGGUUCUUCUUUCUACGGUUAGGAAGACUCUUUUAAGUUAGCUCGACUCUUUUGUAAAAAAAGAAUGCACAAAGGUUUGGAAAGUCUCUCCUUUGUCCCUUUUGUGGAUAAUUUGAAAGAGAGUGAAUCAAAAAGCAUUUGAAAAUGAGUAGUAAUCGGUUUAAUCACUAGAUUGUUAUUUCCUUAGAAGUCCGACAUUAUGGGUUAUGAUGUACAUAGUACAAGGGACAAUGCCUUUAAUUGAUUAUGUAGGUUAGGUGGGAUCUAACCAAGGGCAAAAGUAGUUUUUUUUGUGUUUUCUCUCUUUCAGGUUAUGCUUUUCAUUACCCAUUGCACAUGUACCAUGGUGUAUGGUUUUUGUAACACUAUCAAUCGAUUUUUUUUUCUUACUAAUGAAAAAAAAAUUAUUGUACCAAAGUGGAUUUUUCUUCAUCAAAAUGCGGUUUAAUCUAAAAAAUAAUAUGGACAAAUGCACACUCAUCCUAGUAGGAAAUGUGGUAGAUAAACAUUUUGGUGACUUUGAUUCAUUAUAGAGCAAAUAAGUAGUCAUUUUUUUGUAUUUUUAAGAAAGGGUAAACUUAUUUCAAAUUGAUGUAGUUCGCAUAAUUAAAUGAGUCAGGUAUUCUCAUGUUGUAUGUACACAUAGUUUAUAGUCUUGUGGUUUUCCACUUUCAAAGUUCCAUAGGUUUUGCUUUGCUUGGUUAAGGAUAAUUCGACUAGUUGGCAUCAUAAUUCCAUUGGCAAGAAAAGAAAAUGCAUACGGAGAUCUUUUUUCUUUUUUUUUGAUAGACAAAGAAAGAUAGUAUAUACAAAUAGCAAAAGAAAAGGUAUACCAAAGUACACAAGACGUAAACAUCAAUCCCCCAGAGGUAAGACCUCAAAAGAAAAGCCACAAAAACCACCCUCCCUGUCAACAAGAACCCAACUAAUCUACAAAAUCAACCAAAGGCAUUGAAUCAUUUCUUAUAUACAUGCCAACCCAAGCUGAAACGUUACAAAGGUUUCAACUUUUGGUAUAUGGAGAAUAGUUCUUUGUGUUUAUUCUAGCGUUUCCAAGGAACACAACAAAUCAAGAGCUUUCAAGUCUAUAACAUUUAGAGUUGAUUUUGAAAGAUUAUCUCCUAAAUCUCUAUCAGUAUGGUCAAUGAAUUCAUUGGAGAUUGGAAAUUUGUCCUCUUUAAACUUUAUCGAUAACUUGCCACUAGUUUAAGACCCUUUUAGUACUUAUAGUUCUCUACUUCUUUUUUUUUUCUUUUUUUCUUUUUUUCUUUUUUGGGUUUAUCACACUUUACCCCCCUAACCUAACUGUUUUGCAUAUUUAAAAUCGAGCAAUGUAUCCUUCAUACUUUAUAAUUACAUGCAAUGUACAUUUUUGGAGUGACGGUGUUAUAUUUUUUUACGGAAGGCGCAUGUGCUCUCCACCUGACCUAUUUAAGUGAGGGCAAAAGGGUAAUUUUGCAACCAAAAAUAAUAAAACCCCUCUAGCCCAUCUCUCCUCUGUCAUUCAUUCCUUUUGUUGAAUCAAAUCCUAUAAUGACCACAACUUCUUUGUCUUUACAAAUCAAAUCCUGUAAUAACAACCACAACAUCUUUGUCUUUACAAAUCAAAUCUUGUAACAAUAACCACGUAUCAAUUAAUGGUUUAGUGGACAGGGCAAGCAAGAAGAUAGAAAAGGUUCCCUUAAUUGUUUGAUAGAAAAUACUUUCUCGGAAAACCUUUCACAAUCCAGAAACCUAGACCCUUAACCGAAAAAAAAAAAAAAAACCUUGGAAUGUAUCUCCAAAAACAUUUUCUAUCAAAACAAGCACAAAUCCAAAUGAAACCGAGAAAAAUCAAAAUUGUAAGAGACUACGGAAGUAAUGAAUGAAAAACAAAGAUGUCCAAUAGAAACAAAGACAUAAUUAAAACGAACACCAAUCAUUAAGCAAAAAAAAAAAAAAAAUCACUUGAUGCAUAAAAAAUCAAUUGAAAACUAUGUAGAUCUACAAAGAAAUAAAUUAAUAUCAACAAACCAAAUUUCCCCCAAAUUUAAAAGGAAAAAAAAAAUUAAAAAUGUCAUAACAAACUGCAGAUAAGUUUCCCCAAAUUUCCCUCAAAUUUUCCCUAAAUUUUCUGAAACAUCAAAUAAAACUCCAUUAUGAAACAACAAACUAAAACAUUACAUCGAAUUUUCAUCUCUCUUCUUCGUUGAGUUUUAAAAAAAUAUUUCUCCAAAUUUUUUGAAACAUCAAAACAAAACCCUAACCCUCUUUGUCGAAAUUUUUAUAGCUACUAAAGAAAUUGCAAGACAAAAAACAUAUCGUGGAACUCCAUGUCUUCUCUUCGAUGUCUGCUCUUCCAUAUCUACAUUAGCUUCCUUGGAUUUUAAGGCUUUAACAGCAAUUUGGGGAUUCAGCAAGAGGAACGACAAGAUGAGAGGAACGAACAACAAGGAAAGGAGGGUUGGAGGGGUUUUGUUUUGGUUGCAAAAUUACCCUUUUGUCCUCGCUUAAACAAGUCAGGUGGAAAGCACAUGCACCUUAUGUCAAAAAAUUUAUCACUAUCACUCCAAAAAUGUACAUUGUAUGUAAUUAUAAAGUAUGAAGGGUACAUUGCUCGAUUUUAAAUUUGAUGGGGCAAUGUGCAAAACACGCUAUGGGUUAUGGGGGUAAAGUGUAAUAAACUUUUUUUUUUUUUUUGUUGAAUGUUGCAAUCAAUCCCCAUUUGCUAAAUAUUCAUACACAUAUACAAAUACACACAUUCCCACCAGCAACACUUAGCAUUUGUUCCUUAAGUUUGCUAGAACAAUUAAACAAGUUCCAUGACUAAGAACCAUAGUUAAACCAGCUAAAGAAUCUCCACUUGCUUUUCCUUGUACAACAGUAUGUACCUUUCAUAAGUUUAUAUCCACUAGCAUCAAUUGCUCCUGUAAAAUAUAGGCAACGGUCGUGGACUUCCAUCUAUACAACUAAAAGAUCCAUAUGUAUGAAUGAUCAUAAUAGAUUCCCACCUACUACAUUACAUUCCUUGGCAAUUUAAACCAAUUGAAAUAAACAAGUUUCAGGUUGAGAGAUUUAUGGACCAAUUACAAACAAGCCAAAACAAACUCAACCGGAACAGGUUUGGUCAGAUUAGGCUCCCCAACACAACCCAUGUAUUCUUACUUAAUGACUUGGUUAUAAAUUCCUCUAAAAUUGUUCAUUUAUGUGUUUUUAUAUUACCUCUUAUUCUCAACACUAUUCUAGUAUUACAAGAAUAAUGUUAUUGUACUUAUAUAAUAUUUUACAAGGAAUAGGAAUUUCUUUUAUAAACAGUGGAAAAUAGAACAAAAAGGGCUCUGACAUGAGAUGUCCUUCAAGUCCAAAAAAAAAAAAAAACAUGGGCACAAGGGAAAUAAGAAAAAGAAUAACCAAAUAAACCAAAGACUCCUAAAGAGAAAAACAAAGAAAGCAAAAAAAGGGAUGCAAAGAACAUAUCAAGGGGAAUGCAAUCCCCACUAAAGUCCCUAGAAAGUGGCACACCCCUCUUUGUCCCAAUGUCAACCUCCAGUUUCUCUCUCAAGUCAUUCAACUAGUUUACAAGGUUUCUUGAUAACAUCUACAUGGUCCUUCAGCAAAUAAACAUAUGCCUCUCAAAGAACCCUACCUAACCCAAAAAAGAACAAAAGAGCUCCCUCCACAGCUCCAUCAUAUAACCAGGGAAAUUUCACUUACCUUAGGCAUUCCAACAAAAAUCUAAUCUCAAUUCUAGAUCUACCUAUCUAGAAGCGAUUAUAGAUUGGUCAAGUUGGCAUUUGAGGCACUAUUUGAACCACCUAAACAAGAUCAAUUGCUAGCUCCCUAAAUUUUUUUUUUGAUUGGAAACGACACAUAGAUUUAUUGAUAGAUAAAAAUAAGUACAAAAAGAAGGAUGAGGAAUCCUCCCGCCAAAGAAAGCUAAACUACAGUAAAUUACAAAAGUCAGGAAAAAAAAAAGGAAAAGGAAAAAGAUAAUGAAAAUCUUAAAAAUUGAAAAAUGCGAUAAUUUUUCUAACCAUGUCCUCACUUCCAUGCAUUUGUUUCUUACUAUCUCAGAUUUAAGAGCUUGAUCUUUAUCCUCUUCAAGUUUAUUCUCAAAAAAAUGUUUUUUUCUUCACUGGCAAUAAGCACUGCAUCCAUAAUUUGCCUACCCUGCACAACAUGUUUUGAGCCUUAGAAAUCACCUUAGCCAAAAACUUAUACCACCCCCCCCCCCCCCCUCCUUUUCUUCGAGAUCAACACUUGGAAGGUUGCAUUCAAGUUCCACACAAAACAACCAGAUUCAUGGAAUUCCCUAAAAAAAAAAAUCAUCACCUCAAUCUUCAUGAAUUCUCACGAGAACUGCCAAAAAGCCAUGGAGAACCCAUCUUGGCCUAGAGCUUUAUCCCUGCUAAAACCUGACAACGCCUCAAACACCUCCUCCUCCAUAAAAGGCUUUUCCAGCCCUAUCACCUCAAAGUCUUCCAGCCUCUCAAAAGAUAGCUCACUUAAGUUAGGCCUCUCGUCACUGUUGGUGGAGAGCAGAAGCUGGAAAGCUCUCCUCACUUCCUCUUUAAUUUCUAUGUCCUUAGUGAUCCACACCCCAUUAAUCUUGAGUCUAGCCUCCUUCCAUGAGCAUUGGCCAUUCUAUGAAAGAAGCUCGUGUUUUUAUCCCCCUCCUUCAACCAAAUUUCCCUUGAUUUCUAUCUCCAAGACGUUUCUUUAAGAAGAACCCACUUUUUUUAAUUCUCUCUAGCUUCCUUCCUAGAUUCCCCCUUUUCCAAAGACAAAGGGCAAGCACUCUCCUUAUCCCAAAAAUCCACUUGAUUCAAAGCUAGCUCCUUCUGCACCUCAUACUUGCCAAAAACUUCCUAAUUUGAACUUCUCAGAAGAGGUUUCAAAGCUUUCAGCUUUUCGGCCAAGAUAAAACUAGCAGACCCACUAAAAUUAAGCCCCUCCCACCAUGUCUUCAAAACAUUCUUAAAGCCCUUCUCCUUCAACCACAUGUUUUCAAAUCUAAAUGUUGUGGGGACUCUCCUCAUCCCUCCUCCAUCAAGAAGAAUCAAGAAGUGGUUUAACAGCGGCCUAGCAAGAACAGUUUGAACAACCCUCGUAAAAUGAUCUUCCCAUUCUUCAUAAAUGAGGAAACGAUCAAUUCUCGAUUUAAAUCGGUUAUUUAAGCCACCGCUCCAAGUGAAAAGGCCUCCCUAAAGGGGAAGGUCCCUCAAUUCUAAAUCCUCAAUCACCUCUGAAAAUCCCAUCAUGGCUAGGGACAAUUUACCUCCUCUACUACGCUCCGAAGGGAAUUUGGUCAUGUUGAAAUCGUCUACUGCACACCAAGGGUCACUCCACAGUUCUCUAACUACCCCUAGCUCACUCUAAAAACCUUCUCUAUCCAACUUCAACGUGGGUCCAUAAACCCAUGUAAAGCUCCAACAGAAUCUAUUCUCACAGUUCUUCAAACAAUAAGAAACUGAGAAAUUCCCCACCUCCAUCUCCAACAGUUGUAACAUUGUCCUAAAACACCACAACCAAACCACUCUCCCCGCCCCCCCGAGUUCAUAGCCCCCCAUUCUAAACAUCUUCCCACCCCAAGACUUCACACAAUCCCAAUGGUCAUUUCCUAAAUUUUGGUUUCCAACAAACAAACUAAAUCCAUCUUCUGAGAUUUAAUAAAAGCCUUUAUCAUCUUUCUCUUAUCUCCAUCAUUUACCCCUCUAACAUUCCACGACAGGAUUCGAAGUUUCAUCUAACAAAAGCUAGUUCCCCCAUGAGCCCCUCAUGUCUUACAAUAAUCACCAAACACACCAAUUUCUUCAGCUCCAAGUCAGAUCUUUAGGGUUUCUACCCUUUCCUCUUUUUCCUGGUCAUCUUCUCAAAAUGUUCUCUUCUCUCAUUCAUUCUCUUAAGAGGCUUCAAAAUUUCCCCCUCAAAACCCUCAGUUGGCAUUCUCAAACAGUGGCAAAACUGCACUAAACAACUGUCCUUCCAAGACUCCACUACCCCUCCCUCUUCCUCCACUAACCCAUCAUUCACCUCCUUCAUCAGGCAAGAUCCACCAACUCCCUAUCCAUUCCCCACUUCUUCCACCAAAAGCACCCUCAACAGAUCUAUUGUCAACAAGGAGAUCUGCUUUCGCUUUACCUAUUUGUGAUAGCGAUGGAAGCCCUUAAUUGUCUUUUAAAGAGAGCAAUCUAUGGAGGCUUUUUAUCAACUUGUCAGGUGCAUGGUAGAAGGGGUCAAGGUCUUCCACUUGUUGUUUGCUGAUGAUACACUGAUAGGUUUUUAUGGUAGUUGUUGAUGUGGUUUGAGGCAAUCUCUAAGCUGAGAGUUAAUAUGGAUAAAAGUGAGUCAAUCCCAAUGGGAAGGGUGGAGAAUGUGGAAGAUUUGGUUGCAGAACUUGGUUGUAAGGUGGGAAGUCUUUUGUCCACUUUUUUGGGGAUGUCAUUGGGUGCUCCUUUUAAUCCGUGGCAGCUUGAGAUGGAAUUAAGAGAUUGGCUAUGUGGAAGCGAUAAUAUAUCUCUAAGGGUGGAGAAUCACCUUGAUAUGAAGCGCUUUGUUCAGUUUGCCAAUUUAUUUUAUGUCUAUUCUCCAUUUGCUAGGAGUGAUUGGAAUAGAUUCAAAGGGAUUUUUUGUCGGAAGGUGAGGCUCUAGAGAGAAAACCUCAUUUAGUAAUGUGGAUGACAGUUUGUCUAGAUAAAAGAAAAAAGGGGCUAAGGGUGAAGAGCCUUGCUACGCUCAAUAUGGUUCUCUUUGGCAACUGGAGUUGGCGCUUUGCAAAUGAAAAAGAGGCAUUUUGGAAUCAAGUAAUGACGGGGAAAUAUGGAGAGGAACAUGGUGGGCGGUGUUCUCGGGAAGUUAGGGUGGGGUAUGAUGUAGGCCUGUGAAAAGCAAUUAGGAAGGUUGGGCACCUUGUUAGCUCUAGAAUUUCUUUUGUGGUGGGAAAUGGGCAGAGGGUGAGCUUUCAGAAGGAUAAGUGGUGUGGAACUACACCUUUGUGUGAAUCUUUUCCCUCCUUAUUUGCCCUAGCUACUUCCAAAGAGGCUUGGGUGAAAGAUGUUUGGACUAUUUCAAUGAGGAAAGGGGGGAGGAGGGAGUUUGAGCCCUUGUUUCUCUAGGCCUUUCAAUGAUUGGAAGAUGAAUGAGAUGGAAAACUUGUUGUGUUUGAGUGGGAAGAGAGUGAUUAUGGAUGAGGAUAGGGUGAGGUGGGUGGAAUUGAAGUAUGGCAACUUUUUGGUAAAGUCUCUUUAUAAAGCCUUAGAUCCGGACUCAUGUUUCCUAAUGAAGAUAAUAUGGAACUCUAGUGUGCAACCAAAAGUAAGCUUCUUUGCUUGGGAAGCGUCAUGAGGAAAAGUUCAAACUUUGAACCAAGUUCAGAAGAGAGGUUGGGCUUUAGCAAAUAGAUGUUAUUUGUGCCAAGCAAAUGAGGAGUCCAUUGACCAUCUUCUUUUCCAUUGCAAAAAGACAAGGGAUGUGUGGAGGCUGUUUUUUACUUUGUUUGGAGUGUAUUGAGUGUUUCCUUCCUCAGUAAGGGAAACCCUCUUAGGGUGGAAAGGGUCUUUUGUGGGUAAGAAGAGUAGGGCAGUUUGGAAUAUGGACCCUUUAUGCUUGUUUUGGUCAGUUUUGAAAGCAAAGAACAGAAUUGUCUUUGAAGGCAGUGUGUUGUCCAUGCAAAAGCUGAAAGCUUUUUUUGUUUAUUUAUUUUGGUCAAAGUCUAAAUUGUUUAUAAAAGAUGGUCCUUCAACACUAAUAAAUUUCAUUGAUUGGGUGGGUUGUUUUUUGUACAUCUUGUUGGACAUUUUUUUUGUUUCAGCUAUAAGGGGGUGAGUGUCUGUUUCUUGUACAUCUUAAGCCGCUAAUUUAGCGCUUUUUUGUAAUACAAUACUCUUACUUAUCAAAAAAAAUAUAUGUUUUUUUCUUAGCCUUGUCCAUUUUAUCAAAUCCAUUCCCAUUCCUUCCUACCAAUUUUUUAUGGAAAUCAAAAGCCCCUUUAAAGGUCAAGGCCUUUGCUUGGUUAGUGGUGCACAAGAAGGCAAACACAAAUGACAUGCCACGGUUGAAAAGAUCCUACAACUCUCUCAGUCUUCAUUGGUGCAUCUUAUAGAUAGGAAGUGGAGAAUCGAUCGACCAUUUUUUUCUACAUUGUCCUUUAACAUUGGGGCUUUGGCACAAGCUCUUCAGUCUAAGACCUCUCAUCCUUCUCUUAUACAUUUUUUUUUUUUUGAUAGAUAAACAUCAGAAUAUAUUAGAAAAGGCUAAAAAGCCGCAUGUAUACAGGGGGUAUACACAAAAGCCCAAGAAAGAGAGCUGAAAAAAGAGAGGGGAAGAACCUCACCCACCCUCAAGUGGCCGCAAGCCACUCCAAAAAGCCUAAGAGAGAAUAGGUAUCCUCACCAAUGUACACCCUAGCCCAACUCCACAAAUUACAUACAAAAAAAUUCUUGAAUUUUUGAAUAUCUAAAGACCCCCCCCCCCUAAAAGCUAACCUAUUCCUUUCCUUCCAAACCGUCCAAAAUAUGCACAAUGGAAUGGAAUUCCAAGUAUUUUUUCUUUUUUUCCCCACAAAAGAGCCCCUCCAGCUAAGUAACACUUCUAUAACUGAUUCUGGGAACACCCAUUGGACUCCAAAAAUGACGAGGACAAUCUCCCAAAGAGUCUUAACCACUGUACAAUGUUACAGAAUAUGAUUCACAUUUUCCUCUUCACAGCCACACAAAAAACACCAGUUAGGGAGCUGUCACCCCCUUCUUUGAAGCUUAUCCAAGGUGAGGAUCUUCCCCCACGAAGCUUCCCAAGCAAAAAAAGACACUUUUGUUGGAACCUUAUCCAUCCAAAUGCGUCUGUUCGGGAAAGCACAGGCUGAGGACCCAAACAGCAUUUUGUAAGCACCCUUAGCCCCAAAAACACCAUUGCCUUCCCUUUUCCAUCUCACAGCAUCCUCCUCAGUCGAAGUCUUGAAAUCCCUCAGCAAAUUCAGCAUAUUUCCUAUCUGGUCCAGCUCCCAAUCAUUGAAAUCUCUAGCCAAUCUGAGAUUCCAACCUCCUUGACCCAGGCUAGAGUCCCACACUUCACUUACUUUGGCAUUCCUAUGACCCGCCAAGGUAAACAGCUGUGGGAAAAUUUGAGAAAGCGCCUCAUUGCCACACCACUUAUCUGUCCAGAACAAAACUCUGGUCCCCUUCCCUACCUUAAAAUCAAUGCUCUCCCAGCACCAAUCAGCUUCCUUCAUGAUCUCCUUCCACAAUCCCAUUCCAUAAGGCCCACAAACUUCCUUAGUCCUCCACCCACACCCCUCUUGACCAUACUUCACCCCUAUCACCAUUUUCCAAAGGUUCUCUUUCUCAUAGGCAUAUCUCCACACCCAUUUGCCCAGCAAGGCUUUGUUCAAUAAAUCUAUCUUUCGGAUGCCUAAUCCUCCCUCCUCCUUAAGGCUACAGACCACCUUCCACUUAAUUAAGUGAGCUUUCCUCUCCAAACUUCCUCCCCCCCAAAGGAAAUCUCUUUGGAUUUUCUCAAUCCUUUUUGUAACAGACUUAGGGAUGCGGAUAAGGGAUAGAAAGUAGAUGGGUAUGCUGGCCAAAGUACUCUUGAUAAGAGUAAUUCUACCCCCUUUCGAGAUGUAUUCUUUUCCACUGGGCUAGUCUUCUUCUCAUUCUCUCUUCCACCCCAUCCCAGGAAGAAGAGGUUUUAUGGUGGGCUCCAAGGGGCAGCCCCAAAUAAACAGUGGGUAAAACUCCCAAUUUGCAUCCUAGUUCAGCCGCCAGCUCCUCCAAUUCAUCCACUUGCCCAACAGGAAUUAGGGCACUCUUAGCAAGAUUAAUUCUGAGGCCCGAAGCCGCCUCAAACCACGCCAAGAUCCAGCUUAGAUUGGUUACUUGCUCUCUUUUCGCUUUGCAGAAAAUGAUUGUGUCGUCAACAAAAAGGAGAUGAGAGACAAUCAGCUCCACACCCCCUCUCCCCCGAAGCCUACAGCCGGAAAGAAAGCCCCCCUCACCAGCCCGUCUAAGAAGGGUGCUAAGAACUUCCAUACCCAAGUGUUUUAUAUCAAAAAAUAAACAAAAAUAAUAAUAAUAAUUUUUCCAACCAACUACCCAAGCCAAAAAACCAAGCUAGUCAAAAAUGCUAAAAUACAAAUACUAACAUCCAUAUUCAACCAUCUUAACCAACCUCAGAAGCUCUCCAACUGCAAGCAGAGAGCCAUGUAUACUGUGUACUGGAGCAUUUCUACCCAAUCCAUCUUGUGUAGCCUCAAACAUACGAUAAUACCUGUCAAGAACACAAUACAUAGAACUCAUUGUCCAAAUCAAAUAAAAUACAAGGAACAAAAUAUGCAAGCUCAAUAAAGCAUUCAAUGAGUCUGAAACAAAAAACUACAAUCUGAAAGUCAUCAUCAUCAAAAACAGUUUAAAGUUCAACGAUCAAAAUCAGGUCACAGUUUCUGCAGAAACUAAUUUAUUUUGAACAAGAUUGAAACGACAUAAAAAUAAAAAGCCAUGAGAAGAAGAUUACUGAAGAAUACAUCCAUUAGUUUUUGGAUUGAGGGACACCAAAUGCAGCUACUCCAAAAUGAUAAAGGUUUCAGCUAACUAAUAAAAGUUGGCAAGCAUGUAACCCAAGUUCGCAUGUCUGUUGACUUUUAAAUGGCAUGAAAGAUAGAUAUAUGUCUAGAGCCUCUAAAGUCAGAACACUGUCCAGAUUACAGCCAUAGAUGUGAAAUUCAAACAACAGCCUAAUAUAAGAACAGCCAAUGGUAGCAUUGAAAUGGUUACUUUUUUUCAAAAAAAACAAAGCACUGAAAUCAAGCACAAUGAUUUUUCCCAAAUUAGCCUUAAACACAAACUUCUCUUUUAUGGAUCUCUACAACUUUCAUAUUAUCUUUCUAAUUGUAGAAUGUAUUUCUCUUUGCAGCCUUCUCGCGCUUUACGCCACACAUCAAUGUUGAAUAUAUCUUCACAGAGAAUGAAACCAGACGAUGCAGUGCAACUAUAAUUAUAUACCUAUCCAGAACCAUGGAAUUCUGUACAGCUUGAGAUGCUAUUAAGUUUUUAGCCUACACAAGUCAAACAUUACCUGAGAACCUCAUUUUCACAACUCCUGCUCUCAAUUAUGAUCUUCUAGACUUCUUCAUCAUACGUAAUACAAGAGAUGCUAUACAUUAUCCAAUCUCCUUAAUUGAUGCUUCUAAAACCAUAUGCUCAUUCUCAUCAUGGUGUUUGCCAUAUGGAAUAAGUAAAAGAUGAUAGCCAACACAGAGCCUUUGUCACACCCUCUCUAUAUAGGGAACAGAAAAUAUUAUCGAAAGAAGAGCAAAGAAACAGAGGGAAGGAUAAGAAUGAGAGGCUCCCCCAAGGAGGGUAAGGCCUGCUGCAAACUCAACCAUGGAAAGGCUCCCCCAUUGGCAAGAUCAUCAACUACUUGAGCAUAGGUCUCCAACCAAAUGAUAGAACCCAUUGGAUGUAGAUAGCUCAUGAAAUCCCAGAGAGCAUCUAUGAUCCUCCAUUUGUCCUCAAAAUCCCAUAAUUCCUUCCAAUUAAUAUCACCCAAGGAAUGCCAUGAAUUGCAUCUUCCAACAGCACACUUUUAUUACCCCUUCUUGUCACUAACUCUAGCCCUUCAACACAUAGGCUGACUUUGAAAACACCUUUUCACAAACCACAUAAUUGGGCCACAAGUCUAUCUAGGAUAUGUCAUAGUUAGACCUCUAUGUUACAUGGGUUUGGGUAUGGGUGUUGAGUGCAGGUACAUGUCUAGGUGUCAUAUCUUCUGCAUCACAAAAUCUUAGGAUAAGGAGAUUCGACUAAGAAGGAUCUCAACUAUGAGUCCGGGCACUUUUUUUUUUUUGAUAGAUAAACAACCAAAUAUAUUAGAAAAGGCUAAGAAGCCGCAUGUAUACAGGGGGUAUACUGAACAGCCCAAAACAAGGCUGAGAAAAAAAACAAAAAAGGGGAGAAGCCUCACCCACCCUCAAGUGGUCCCAAGCCACUCCAAAAAGCCUAAAAGAGAGUAGGUUUCCUCACCAAUGUACACCCUAGCCCAACUCCAUAAGUUACAUACAAAAAAAUUUUUGAAUUUCUGAAUAUCUAAAGACCCUCCCCUGAGAGUUAACCUAUUCCUUUCCUUCCAAACCGUCCAAAAUAUGCACAACGGGAUGGAAUUCCAUAUCUUUUUUCUUUUUUUCCCCACAAAAGAACCCCUCCAGCUAAGUAACACCUCUAUAACUGACUCUGGGAACACCCAUUGAACUCCGAAAAUGGCAAGGGUAAUCUCCCAAAUAGUUUUAACCACUGUACAAUGUAGGAGAAUAUGGUUCGCAUUUUCCUCUCCGCAGCCGCAUAAAUAGCACCGAUU